rnacentral:rRNA from 1 species
GGGACAACAGCCAGAAAUGGCUGCUAAUACCGCAUAAGCCUGCUGUGCCGCAUGGCACAGCAGGGAAAACCACGGUGGUACAGGAUGGGCCCGCGUCUGAUUAGUUAGUUGGCAGGGUAACGGCCUACCAAGACAACGAUCAGUAGCCGGCUUGAGAGAGUGGACGGCCACAUUGGGACUGAGACACGGCCCAGACUCCUGCGGGAGGCAGCAGUGGGGAAUAUUGCACAAUGGGGGGAACCCUGAUGCAGCAAUGCCGCGUGGGUGAAGAAGCACUCCGGUGUGUAAAGCCCUGUCAGCAGGGAAGAAAAUGACAGUACCUGGACAAGAAGCCCCGGCUAACUACGUGCCAGCAGCCGCGGUAAUACGUAGGGGGCAAGCGUUAUCCGGAUUUACUGGGUGUAAAGGGAGCGCAGGCGGCGUGGCAAGUCAGAUGUGAAAACCCGGGGCCCAACCCCGGGAGUGCAUUUGAAACUGCCAUGCUGGAGUGCCGGAGAGGUAAGCGGAAUUCCUAGUGUAGCGGUGAAAUGCGUAGAUAUUAGGAGGAACACCAGUGGCGGAGGCGGCUUACUGGACGGUAACUGACGUGAGGCUCGAAAGCGUGGGGAGCAAACAGGAUUAGAUACCCUGGUAGUCCACGCCGUAAAC